CGGACGGGUGAGUAAUACUUAGGAAUCUGCCCAAUAGUGGGGGACAACAUUCGGAAGCGGAUGCUAAUACCGCAUACGCACUAUGGUGGAAAGUGGGGGACCUUCGGGCCUCACGCUAUUGGAUGAGCCUAAGUCGGAUUAGCUUGUUGGUGAGGUAACGGCUCACCAAGGCGACGAUCCGUAGCUGGUCUGAGAGGACGAUCAGCCACACUGGGACUGAGACACGGCCCAG
rnacentral:rRNA from 1 species